AUUGAAUAAGCAAAUAAGAAAAAUUUUAAAAAUUAAUAUAAAAAACAACAUUUUAAUUUUUGACGAAUCACAAAACAUAAUAAACAAUAUAAAUGAUGCUAAUUCAACACAAAUAAGUAAACAUCAAAUUAUGUUUUGUAAAUUAAUUUUAACAGAAUAUAUUAAAAAAUAUGAACAUAUUUUAAAUAAUAAUAAUGUUGUUAUGAUUAAACAGAUAAUUAUUUUUUGUACAUUCUUAUUAAACUCCUUUGUCAUUUUAAAUCAAAAUCUAAUCAAUAUAAAUAAAUUUAUUUUGUUACUAAAGUUAGACGUGUUACACUUAAAUAAAAUAUUUGAUUUUUUAAAUAAUCAUUGUUUUUGUAAACGAGUUAAGAUAUUUUCAGAAAUAUGCUUAUGGAAUUAUAUGAAAAAGAAAGAGCAAGAUAAAGAGAAAGUGUCAAAACAACACCCAGUGAUAAAUGUCAUCGAAAAACAUUACAAACGAUCAAAAUUUACUGCCGAUAUUGCAUCUUCUACUACUACGAAAAGUUUUACAUAUACGAAAUAUACUUCAGCUAUUUAUUUACUAUGUGAGUUUACCAACAAGUUAAUACAAUCAAAUAAAUAUGACUAUGUACAUAUAAAAAAUCCACUUAAUGAAGAUAAGGAACAUAUAGUUGAAAAUGAAAACAUAAACAAAAACAAAGAUACAGAUACAGAUACAGAUACAAAUACAAAUACAGAUACAGAUACAAAUACAGAUACAAAUACAGAUAUUAAUACAAAAAAAGGAAACAAUAAAACUAAAGAAUAUCAUAAAUUCGCAAAAAAAAAAAGAGCAAAUGAUAAUCAGAGAACAGAACUAGACAGUCAUGAAAAAAAAAAAAAAUUAUGUACCUUGAAUGAUUCGAAAAAUUAUUUCAAUAAAUCAUUCUCAGAAAAAGAUAAAGUAGUAAAGUGUAAUACUAUUAACACUAGUACAAAAACAAAUAGUAGCAAUAAAAAAAGUUUUGAGCAGAUUGGACAAGAGUUAGAUGCUUUUUUCGAG
rnacentral:lncRNA from 1 species